rnacentral:rRNA from 1 species
UGAGGAACAUGACCUUCGGCGGGGAUAGCCGGCCCAACGGCCGGGUAAUACCGCGUACGACCUUCCGGGGACAUCCCUGGAUGGUGAAAGCAGCAAUGCGCCGAUGGAGUGCCU